GCUUCAAUUCUCAUGACCGGAAGUUGCCGCUUUGGUCAAAGGCACAGUAUGUUCGAAGACAACAACGCCAGCAGGUUGCAGAGAUUAGACUACCAUAGACAGGUGCCAUGAACCUUACCAAGAAGACCUAAUCAACUUGUCCAUUCAUUAAGCAGAAUAUGGCAUAGUUGUGAAGAAAAUGCUAUUGCAUUCAAGGUCAUGAUAAUUCCGUUAUAGUAAAAUGAAAAUGUUAUAGUGUUUUCAAAUGAAAUACAUAUAUAAGACACAUAAGAUGUAGUAAGGGAUUAUGUUGUG